AAUUAUGUCUCUGCAUGUUAUAUUCCUUGAACAUGUACAUUUCUUUUAUAUUCCUGCUAGUUCUCAUAACAUGACUUGGUCUGAUCUUAUUUACAUUGAUCCAUUCGUUGGUGAUACUAAGAUUGUCCCACAACUAGUUCCACACAUAUCCACUCCCACUUCAGAUCUUAAUUCUUUUAGGGUUUCCACUGAUAGUUCUAUAGAUAUUGGUACUUUGACUCCUAAUACAUCAGUUGUUCCUUCUCCUCCUACGGUUGUCCAACCAUCUCUUGAGACUAGGUCUCCUCCUCCUCGUUACCCUGUGCGUACUCAUAAGUCCACUAAAUUAUCAGAUUUUGCUUACACGAGGUACUCUAGUUUUUUCACUUCAUUUUUAGCUUCUGUUCAUCAAUUUUUUGAGCCUUUGUCCUAUAGAGAGGUAGUUUGUGAUCCACUUUGGCAGGAGGCUAUGUCUGAAGAAUUUACUACUCUACAUUAGACACAUACAUGGGACUUGGUAUCUCUAUCUCUAGGAAAAUGAGUAAUUGGUUCUAAGUGGGUAUAUAAAAUCAAAACUAAGCUAGAUGGAUUGGUUGAAAGAUAUAAAGCUCGAUUAGUUGUAAAGGGAUAUUCUCAGGAGUAUGAUAUGGAUUAUGAGAAGACUUUUGCACCUAUUAUAGAAAUGACUACUGUUCGCACCUUUAUUGCAGUUACUUCUGUUCGUUGAUGGAGAGUAUAUCGGAUGUUAAAAAUGCCUCCUUGAAUGUAGAUCUAGAGGAAGAAGUCUAUAUGGUUCCUCUUCCUAAUGUUUCUCAUCAAAGUGGUGAAGUCUGCAAACUUCGAAAAGCUCUCUACGGUCUCAAACAAGCACCACGAGCUUAGUUUGAGAAGUUUUCUACUGUGAUUACUUCACUUGAUUUUCG
rnacentral:lncRNA from 1 species